rnacentral:tRNA from 1 species
UAGCUCACUUGGUAGAGCAUGGUGUUUGCAACGCCAGGGUUGUGGGUUCGAUGUUCGAUUCCCAC